GGGUUGUGAGGUUAAGCGACUAAGCGUACACGGUGGAUGCCCUGGCAGUCAGAGGCGAUGAAGGACGUGCUAAUCUGCGAUAAGCGUCGGUAAGGUGAUAUGAACCGUUAUAACCGGCGAUUUCCGAAUGGGGAAACCCAGUGUGAUUCGUCACACUAUCAUUAACUGAAUCCAUAGGUUAAUGAGGCGAACCGGGGGAACUGAAACAUCUAAGUACCCCGAGGAAAAGAAAUCAACCGAGAUUCCCCCAGUAGCGGCGAGCGAACGGGGAGCAGCCCAGAGCCUGAAUCAGUGUGUGUGUUAGUGGAAGCGUCUGGAAAGGCGCGCGAUACAGGGUGACAGCCCCGUACACAAAAAUGCACAUACUGUGAGCUCGAUGAGUAGGGCGGGACACGUGGUAUCCUGUCUGAAUAUGGGGGGACCAUCCUCCAAGGCUAAAUACUCCUGACUGACCGAUAGUGAACCAGUACCGUGAGGGAAAGGCGAAAAGAACCCCGGCGAGGGGAGUGAAAAAGAACCUGAAACCGUGUACGUACAAGCAGUGGGAGCACGCUUAGG
rnacentral:rRNA from 1 species